rnacentral:lncRNA from 1 species
UGAGAUUAGACGGGUAGGUUGAAGGAGUGAAUAUAUGGUAGAAAUUUAGGGGUAGAGAUACGUGCUGGCUUCUAUGGCAGAAAUCUCCCCCAGAACCUCUGGCGAAAAAAACCCAAAACAAUUAGCUUCAUUUGCCAAAUCUGGCCAGAUAUCAUGACAUUGGUCUACAGAUGCCCUCUCAGAUAGGUUUAAAAAUCCUCCUCCCGCUUCUAGCAUUCGCUUUCCCCACCAUUAGGGAGUCGGGCAAGGGAGGGGGCAGGAUGAAAACUGCACCCACGUUUGCUGCCUUGGCUCUCUGCAGGAGACAGGAAUCCAGGGCUUUGCCGUCGUCAUAGCAACUAGGAGUUCCGCGGUCCCCCACCUUCCUCCAACUCCUACUUCCCGGGCUGGCCGGGCUGAGCGGCCGCUUCUCUCGCGAGAUUUGCGCGCUGUGCUGAGUAGCCCAGCGGUGAUCUCACCCGAGACUUGCCGAGGGAGGGAGAGAAGGAGGGGAAGGAAUGGGGCGGGGAGGCGGGGAGGCGAGGGGAGUGGAGGGGAGGGAAGGGCGAGUGAGGCGCCGCCACCGCCGGCAACUUUGUGAGCGAGUUCAGUGCGUGCGUAAGCGAGUGAGCGAAAAAGGAGAGCGCGCGGCGGACCCACCCCGGACGCGCGGCAGCACCGGGAGGCCGGGCUGAGCGGUAAGUGGCUCCAGCGCCUUGGGGCCGGGCAGGGGAAGGGGGGUGCAGGACUGUCGACAGCCCCCCCUCCCCCAGCGCGUUUUUGGCUGGGGCUCGGGUCCAGGGCCGGGAGCAGACACCGAGAGACCGGUCAAAGUUUUAUUUCCGAUUCGGUGGCGUGCUGAUAGCGCAGCCCGGCGGGGGCGAGUCCGGGCUGCACCGCGCACGGCGCGCGCGCACGCACCUCGGAAUCCGAAUCUGCAUAACUACCGGCGGAGCGCCUCCGCGAGAGGCCGGGAGAUCCGCGCCCCCGUCGGGGUGGCUGCGCCCACCCGGUUGUUCUCGUCGUCACCCGGCACCCUUCACCUUCAGUCACCUGGAGGUAGCAUUCCCUGAAAUUCUUACUACCGGCUGGACGAUUAUAUUUCUAAACUGGGAGCCAGUGAUGCGAUGCAAAUUUCAGAGUAAAGGUGUCGACUUUCAUCAGGUUCCAGGUCUAUCUGGAUGA